UCGAGGAUCUUCGUCAAUGGGGGAAACCCUGACCCAGCAACGCCGCGUGAAGGAUGAAGUAUUUCGGUAUGUAAACUUCGAAAGAAUAGGAAGAAUAAAUGACGGUACUAUUUAUAAGGUCCGGCUAACUACGUGCCAGCAGCCGCGGUAAUACGUAGGGACCAAGCGUUGUUCGGAUUUACUGGGCGUAAAGGGCGCGUAGGCGGCAUGACAAGUCACUUGUGAAAUCUCUGGGCUUAACCCAGAACGGCCAAGUGAUACUGUCGCGCUAGAGUGCAGAAGGGGCAAUCGGAAUUCUUGGUGUAGCGGUGAAAUGCGUAGAUAUCAAGAGGAACACCUGAGGUGAAGACGGGUUGCUGGGCUGACACUGACGCUGAGGCGCGAAAGCCAGGGGAGCAAACGGGAUUAGAUACCCAUGUAGUCCCUGAGCGGGCUGGCAAGGCGCAU
rnacentral:rRNA from 1 species